rnacentral:rRNA from 1 species
UACGUAGGGGGCAAGCGUUGUCCGGAAUUAUUGGGCGUAAAGAGCGUGUAGGCGGUCCGGUAAGUCGGCUGUGAAAGCCCAGGGCUCAACCCUGGGAUGCCGGUCGAUACUGCCGGACUAGAGUUCGGAAGAGGCGAGUGGAAUUCCCGGUGUAGCGGUGAAAUGCGCAGAUAUCGGGAGGAACACCUAUGGCGAAGGCAGCUCGCUGGGACGUUACUGGCGCUGAGACGCGAAAGCGUGGGGAGCAAACAGG